AACGAACGCUGGCGGCAUGCCUAACACAUGCAAGUCGAACGAGACCUUCGGGUCUAGUGGCGCACGGGUGCGUAACGCGUAGGAACCUGCCCUUAGGUUCGGAAUAACUCCCCGAAAGGGGUGCUAAUACCGGAUAAUGUCUUCGGACCAAAGAUUUAUCGCCUUUGGAUGGGCCCGCGUUGGAUUAGCUAGUUGGUAGGGUAAAAGCCUACCAAGGCGACGAUCCAUAGCUGGUCUGAGAGGAUGAUCAGCCACACUGGGACUGAGACACGGCCCAGAUUCCUACGGGAGGCAGCAGUGGGGAAUAUUGGACAAUGGGCGAAAGCCUGAUCCAGCAAUGCCGCGUGAGUGAUGAAGGCCUUAGGGUUGUAAAGCUCUUUUACCCGGGAUGAUAAUGACAGUACCGGGAGAAUAAGCUCCGGCUAACUCCGUG
rnacentral:rRNA from 1 species